CUAGUAGUGGUCGUGAGAGGAUGGUCCCAAAACGACGUCGUGCAAGUAAAGAGAUUGUUAGAAGGGCAUUGACUCCUCCACCUAGUCUUUUGCUACAAAAUGAAAUCUGAUAUCGAAUCAUAGCUUUGGAGAAUGGAGAGUGGAGACUUGGAGUUAUUAAUUUUGGGCCAAGACUUUUUUUUAUCGUAAUGUUGUAGAGUGUGGGCCUCUAGUGAAAAUAUCUGGGCUUAUUUUGAGUAUGCAAUUUCGCAGAAGCCCCGAGCAUAAUAUUUCCACAUCCGAUUUGCGAUUUAAUUAAAAACGUUCUCGUCCUCAUUUUGGGUUCAUCAAAAUCUGUAUAGUUUCAGGCUUUCAGCUUUAAAUGGAAAUCAGUUGGUUUUCAGAGUUGUCUUUCCGGCAUAGAGAAUAUCACACCGUGUGUGUGGCUUGUAAUCAUCGAUCUAUCACUGUAACAAAAUCUUAAACGUGUUCACUCAACACAAAAGAAGGAAACGAAAUCUUUUCUGUUGAUACUAUUUGAAUUUCUUUUUAUGAUUGUGGGUACCUGUGCAAUAUAAAAGUAGUAUAGGUACUUGAUGUAAAACGAUAAUGUAUGGAUUAUAGGAGAUAAGAGGUAUAAAAUGUAAAUAUGUAAGGCUAUUUCCAAUGGGGUGUCUUUGAGUGCACUUGAAUAUCCUUUGCCGUAGAAGCUUGUCCGAAACUAACUAUUUUUUGAGGAUGUCUUUACCUAAGUGCAAGCUCUUACUUGUCCUUGUUGAAUAAUAAUAGCAAAAUCAAAGUUAUAUAUUA